ACGCUUGGGGCAUGUUUGCUGGCGUUGUCAGCACAUGCCCAGGCAGCCAUAGGUCUUUAAGGCUGCGGCGCAGGUUUUGACUUGCGUUAGACCAUCCAGUUCGCUUUCGGCAUCUUCGCGCGAACGGCCAUCCGUUGGAUGGUGAUGC
rfam:Pseudomonadales bacterium CV58 contig_28, whole genome shotgun sequence.